UGGCUCAGUUGGUAGAGCAUGGUGUUUGCAACGCCAGCAUGGUGUGUGCAACGCCAGGGUUGUGGGUUCGAGUCCCAC
rfam:Salmo salar isolate Sally breed double haploid chromosome ssa16, whole genome shotgun sequence.